AAUGGUUUGAGUGCCAAUCGACCGUUGAUUCACACAAUUGGUCAUCGCGCUUGGUUCAAAAGUCAAUGGUGCGAAGCUACCGUGUGUUGGAUUAUGACUGAGCACCUCUAAGUCAAAAUCUGUGCUAGAAGCGACACUUGUCACUCCUCAACUGAAUCUUGAGCCACAAUAGGGGUGUUGCUUCAGCACCCCUAGGGGACUGUUUCACUUGCAAACCUCGGUCGAGGUAGCUUUGAAGUUCAAUUUCAAACAGUCAUUGAGAAAAAUCCUUUGUAGAUAACUUAAAUACGCGACGGGGUAUUGUAAGUGGCAGAGUGGCCUUUCUGCCACAAUCCACUAAGAUUCAUUCCUUAUUCGCCUUGAUUC
rfam:Picea glauca, whole genome shotgun sequence.